UACGUAGGGUGCGAGCGUUGUCCGGAAUUAUUGGGCGUAAAGGGCUCGUAGGCGGUUUGUCGCGUCGGGAGUGAAAAUCCAGGGCUUAACUCUGGACUGGCUUCCGAUACGGGCAGACUAGAGGUAUGCAGGGGAGAACGGAAUUCCUGGUGUAGCGGUGAAAUGCGCAGAUAUCAGGAGGAACACCGGUGGCGAAGGCGGGUCUCUGGGCCGAUACUGACGCUGAGGAGCGAAAGCGUGGGGAGCGAACAGG
rnacentral:rRNA from 1 species